AUUGAACGCUGGCGGCAGGCCUAACACAUGCAAGUCGAACGGUAACAGGAAGCAGCUUGCUGCUUCGCUGACGAGUGGCGGACGGGUGAGUAAUGUCUGGGAAGCUGCCUGAUGGAGGGGGAUAACUACUGGAAACGGUAGCUAAUACCGCAUAAUGUCGCAAGACCAAAGAGGGGGACCUUCGGGCCUCUUGCCAUCGGAUGUGCCCAGAUGGGAUUAGCUUGUUGGUGGGGUAACGGCUCACCGAGGCGACGAUCCCUAGCUGGUCUGAGAGGAUGACCAGCCACACUGGAACUGAGACACGGUCCAGACUCCUACGGGAGGCAGCAGUGGGGAAUAUUGCACAAUGGGCGCAAGCCUGAUGCAGCCAUGCCGCGUGUAUGAAGAAGGCCUUCGGGUUGUAAAGUACUUUCAGCGGGGAGGAAGGGAGUAAAGUUAAUACCUUUGCUCAUUGACGUUACCCGCAGAAGAAGCACCGGCUAACUCCGUG
rnacentral:rRNA from 1 species